AACAAGUCAAACGUAAAUUAGGAGGAUAUGGGAAGGAAAAGAGAAAGAAGAAACAGACAAAUGUCAGGUUUCCUACAAAGGCAAAAGCGUGCAGGACCCCAUGUGAGAUGACAAGCGAUUAAAGGAAUAAUAUGCAUAUGGUCUCUACACCAACCAAAACUGGACCUGGUGGGUCUCAGCCAAUGGCAACGCAGCCAGAUGUUUCAAAUCAGCGGAGGCACUUCAGGGUUGUCUUCAAAGAUUCAACUCACCCAUCCAUUUAUUCAGCAAACGUUGGCAAGUAAUAUGCCUGGAGCACAGAAAUAAAAGGAGAGAAUGUCCCUAGCAUCAAGAAGCUUAGAGCCUUGUAGAAUCAAGACUCUGACCUGUGGAGAAGAAAAGUUCUAAAAAAAAAAAAAAAAGUCACUGGGUUUCUACUAAUGCACAGGCAGUUGGAGGAGACGUCACCUGUGAAACUCUACCUCGUUAAGAAUUUGUAUUUGAUAACUGAAAUGAUACAGCAGGCAACGCCCUACAGCCAAGAUCAAUAACUGAAUCCUUCCAGGCAGCUCUUAUUCCUGAAUGCAGCUCAUCAGGCUUCUGGACCCUCCUGCUUCAGACAAUCUAACUUGCAGGGGUUUGGCAGGGGCAUCUACACGGCAAGUUCAGGUGCAUAGUAAAGUGUAGCCCCACCAACCUCUCCUCCCACAAGAACCUGAGCCUUCUGCACUCACUCAGUUUUCUCAGCAAUAGCAAGCAUGAAACAGAAGAAGGGGGCACCUCGGUUGGCCAAUGUUCCCAAUAUCAUGGUCAGAUAUAGAUAUAGAUAUAGAUACAGAUAUAGAUAUAGAUAUAGAUAUAGAUGUAGAUAAUCAGGUCUCUGGGCUGCGUUCCCCGCAAUUUUGAUUCAAUAAGUCUGGUGUUGGGGCCAGUAACCUGUAUUUUUAUAACGUUCCCUCAAAUGAUAUUGAUAAUCAGUCAAAUUGUUUUGGAAUCACUGCACCGUUCAUUCAAAUGUUCAUUGAACAGAUACGUGUUAAAUAUCUAUGAUAUUCCAGGUGUUGUAUAGGCACCAGGGAAACCACGGUCUGUGCAAAUAGACAAUGUUCCUGGUAAUAUCUAAUAGCACAGUGUAGUGCUUGAACACAGAAUUAAUGACACUCUCAUACACCUGUUUCAUUCUUUGUCUGUUUUCAUACAAUACUGGUAUCUUUGAAGCAAAGGUUUUGUCUUUUUCAUCUUUUAUCCUAGGCAUAUGGCUGUAUUGAAUAAAUAUUGUUGAAUAGAUG
rnacentral:lncRNA from 10 species